GACGAACGCUGGCGGCGUGCUUAACACAUGCAAGUCGAACGGAAAGGCCCUGCUAUUGUGGGGUGCCCGAGUGGCGAACGGGUGAGUAACACGUGAGUAACCUGCCCUUGACUUUGGGAUAACUUCAGGAAACUGGGGCUAAUACCGGAUAGGAGCUCCUGCUGCAUGGUGGGCGUUGGAACGUUUCGGCGGUUGGGGAUGGACUCGCGGCUUAUCAGCUUGUUGGUGGGGUAGUGGCUUACCAAGGCUUUGACGGGUAGCCGGCCUGAGCGGGUGACCGGCCACAUUAGGACUGAGAUAGGGCCCAGACGCCUACGGGAGGCAGGAGUGGGAAAUAUUGCGCAGUGGGCGGAAGCCUGAUGCAGAGACGCCGCGUGCGGGAUGACGGCCUUCGGGUUGUAAACCGCUUUCGCCUGUGACGAAGCGUGAGUGACGGUAAUGGAUAAAGAAGCACCGGCUAACUACGUG
rnacentral:rRNA from 1 species